AUAUCUAUCAAAAUAAUGAUUGACAUGUUUGCUCCAUGAGCUUAUUGUGGCUUUAUUUGUAAAUGUCGAGACACACGCAAACACUAUAUGAAUGUAGCCGUCAUUCCCACUGUUAAAUUAUACACUACAUUCAUAUUAAUGCUGCGCAAAUUCACACGCAUGUGGUCUCUCUGUGUCUACCCAGUGUCGUGUAGUAGGCCGUGUCAGUGUGUCGAGAACAUAUAUGAAUGUUAUAAUGAAGCGGAGCGGGAAAAAGGCUUUGUCAGGAUUCUCGCACGGAGAAGUGCAAUUACACAUGCAACAUUGUAACAAAUUUAGUCCCAAAACAAACGAUCCAUAGGUGUGAAAACUCCUCCUAUUUUACUUCUCUGACUGAACUAGUAAGGAGCUGUUGGAGCCAAUGAGAAAGCUGGUAAGUUCAAGUAUAGUUUGGCACAUUCAGUUAGACCAUGUAACCUUUAUUAAUAGAUACCUAUAUACUAUUUUCUCUUUACAGGUAUAAAGUAAACCUGCUAUUUUAAUGAUUAUUUCUAAGUUUACUGAGCGAUGUAAACUGCUGUCAUCCACAUCACAUCAUCACUGAAGAAUCCUUUCAGUGUGACAGAUAUUCACAAGCGUCUGGAGCCAACUUAAAAUACUUAACUGGAUGCUUACUGAAGAGUGAGCUUCAACACUUCAGGUUUGUACAAAGUUACACCAUAUCACUGAAAAUGGCAUGCGUCAAGAUUUCAGAGACUCUGCGUGACAUUUUAAAUGUUUAUGAUCUUCAGGCUGUGCAUGAUGUCAACAUGAAACGCACCGUAGCCCUCCUUGCUCCACAGUACCUGUGUGAGGAGGACCCACAAUUCUUCAAGACUUGACAUGGGGUGUUGGGAGAGCCAGACAUCGCUGAUUCUGUCAUUGUGGUCAACGAAACGAAAGCACAAGUCCUUCAAGCUCUGCAGUUGUGAUAGAAGAUGAUCUUCAAUUUUAAAAUAAAAGACUAAUCUUCA